ACGCUGGCGGCAGGCCUAACACAUGCAAGUCGAGCGGUAGAGAGAAGCUUGCUUCUCUCGAGAGCGGCGGACGGGUGAGUAAUGCCUAGGAAUCUGCCUGGUAGUGGGGGAUAACGUUCGGAAACGGACGCUAAUACCGCAUACGUCCUACGGGAGAAAGCAGGGGACCUUCGGGCCUUGCGCUAUCAGAUGAGCCUAGGUCGGAUUAGCUAGUUGGUGGGGUAAUGGCUCACCAAGGCGACGAUCCGUAACUGGUCUGAGAGGAUGAUCAGUCACACUGGAACUGAGACACGGUCCAGACUCCUACGGGAGGCAGCAGUGGGGAAUAUUGGACAAUGGGCGAAAGCCUGAUCCAGCCAUGCCGCGUGUGUGAAGAAGGUCUUCGGAUUGUAAAGCACUUUAAGUUGGGAGGAAGGGUUGUAGAUUAAUACUCUGCAAUUUUGACGUUACCGACAGAAUAAGCACCGGCUAACUCUGUGCCAGCAGCCGCGGUAAUACAGAGGGUGCAAGCGUUAAUCGGAAUUACUGGGCGUAAAGCGCGCGUAGGUGGUUAGUUAAGUUGGAUGUGAAAUCCCCGGGCUCAACCUGGGAACUGCAUUCAAAACUGACUGACUAGAGUAUGG
rnacentral:rRNA from 1 species